rnacentral:rRNA from 1 species
ACAGCAGUAGCCGCGGGAAUACGGAGGGGGCUAGCGUUGUUCGGAAUUACUGGGCGUAAAGCGCACGUAGGCCGCUUUGUAAGUCAGAGGUGAAAGCCCGGGGCUCAACCCCGGAUGUGCCUUUGAGACUGCAGGGCUAGAACGUCGGAGAGGUGAGUGGAAUUCCGAGUGUAGAGGUGAAAUUCGUAGAUAUUCGGAAGAACACCAGUGGCGAAGGCGGCUCACUGGACGACUGUUGACGCUGAGGUGCGAAAGCGUGGGGAGCAAACAGGAUUAGAUACCCCUGUAGUCCCUGUCUCUUAUAC